rnacentral:tRNA from 1 species
GGUUGUGGCUCAGAGGUAGAGCGCUUGCCUAGCACAUGCGAGGCCCUGGGUUCGAUCCUCAGCACCA